CAAUUCUCCUUAGUAAAAGUAUUUUCUCAUGCAAAAAAAAAGAACUAAAAAAAAAUAGAGAUGGCGACGACAACUGCGAUUGGAUCUAGGGUUUGAGAUGUGCUUCUAUGGUGAAGAUGGGGGAUAAAGAGAUGGUCUCUAUGUUCCUCUUGUGGGUUGUCAGCAUCGGGGAUGGGUCGGAAGUUUGUCUUUGUUCUUGGUCUGGUUAAGUCUAUUGUUUCGAGGGUCUGUCUCCGUAAGAGAAAGAUUGGUUUUUUGGGCUCUUCAAUUGUUGAUUCAGUUUGAUUCGAUUGUUGGUGGAAGAAAGAUUGAGGGGAUUCGACUCAGGGAUGUAAGGAUCCUGUUGGUGAUAUAUUUGUUUGGUCAGGAUAUGAUAUUAAAUCUAAUUUCGUCUAUGGUCUUGGGUAUCAAGGUGAGGAUUUUUUGGAGAUGUAGUUAUGGAAGUUAUAUUCCUAAUCUUUGGUGGUCUAUUGGUAGGGGGAUAAUCAGCGAUUCGGUGAUAGGGUUUGCUUUGGAAAUAUUUGUGAUUCGAAUAUCUCUUCAUUUUCAAGGUGGAGACUGGGUUGUAGAAUUGGUAUUUAUUCAGUGGAUUAGGUUAUUAUGAUGCAUCAAUCUUAAGCUUCUUCGUCCAUUGGUUGUAUCCGAGAGUUAGUCUAAUCAGAGUGGUGAUUUUUUCUAGCAGGUGAGUGUUGGUGAUUUGGUUUCUUUUGCGUAUUAUGGCUUAACUAGCGCUUAAAAAGGGCAAAGCUUCUUUGGUUUGUACUUAAACGGUGAAAAUCUCAAACUCUGUCUUUGCUUAGAGAAUUCAGUAAUUUUCUCUGACUUGGGAGGUUGAUGAAUCCGGCCAUCCAGAGGAUCGAUUCUUUGGUGGCCAAUCUGCCUAAGAUCUGUAAGCUUGAGGAUAGAGUGGUAGGGGCUUAUCUGGGGCAGAGAAUUUUUCUUUUCAACUUUGAAGCAGAAGAUGAUCAUCAGUCUGUGCUACAGAAUGGUUCUUACCAUUUUGAUGGUUGGAUGGUUUCUCUGGUAAGGUGGGAGCCUAUCAUUUCGUCCACAUAUCCAUCUGCUAUCAAUUUUUGGGGGAAGUUGCUGGUAUUCUUAUGCACAUUUGGGAGGUAACAACCUUAGAAGCAAUUGGUAAGCAGGUUGGUUUAAUCCGGGAGCUAGACGAGGAGUAUGGAAGUAUAUUUGUUACUGUUAGUGGCUUUAAUCCCCUUCUCUUCCAGAAUGGUGGCGCCUUUUGAUAAUGGUGAUUAAAUUGUCGUUUCUCUUGAAUAUAGAAAUUGAUGGGAUUUUGUGAGCAGUGUUCUAGGUUUACUCGUGAGACAAGAGCUUGUCCUGAGUUAAGUAAGGAAAGGAAAGGUCCGAGGAUCUAAACCUAAGUAGCUGACCAGCUCGAGUAACGAAGGCAAGGAAGGGAGAGGAUGGUGGCUUUGGGUAGUUUUAUUUCUGGUCUAGUACUUUAAACGAUGUAUUAACUUAUUGGCAUGACUUUCGUUGUAUUAAAACCUCAUCGUGAAUUUGAAUGCACGUUUAUGCUUA